rnacentral:pre_miRNA from 1 species
GGUGGCUGACGUUGAAGGAACUUCUGCUGUGAUCUGAGAUGUGUUCAUAUCACAGUAGUUGUACUUUAACGUCGGUCGGC